rnacentral:lncRNA from 1 species
GCUUUAAAUUCUUUCUCUCAAUAACGUUUGGUUUUAUUGUUCUAUUCUAUUUGAUUGUAUUUUAUUCUAUUUUCUUUUAUUCAAUCUUGUCUUUCAUGUUCUAUUCUAUUUAGAUACUUUUAGUUUUGUUUUGAUGUACUUCAUCUUAUGUUAUAUCAAGAUCUUUAUUAUUAUGGAUUUAGUAAGAUUUUAGACUUUAGAGAGGUGCAACAUCAAGUUCAAAGCUAUGGAGCUUAAGGUAGAUUUGGUGAUUGGGAGGGAUUUAAGACUGAACUUAAGAAUCAAUUUGAGAGUAUCAAUGCAAGAAAAUUAUGAUGCAAAUAAUUGACUAAACUUAUAUAAUUUAGGUUGGUGUAAGACUAUGUCUUUUGAUUUAAGUCUUUAUGUCUCUAAAUUGACAAUGUUUCAGAGAUAAAGAUGAUGGAUCAAUUUAUACAAGGAUUGAAAUCUGUGGUCCAACAAGACAUAGAAUUAAAGAAUCCACAAACAUUUGAGGAGGCAAUUAGAAUUGUAGAGAGGAUCAAUACUAUAGAUUUUAGAAAUCAUGGAGUACAACUUAUGAUAUGGAAUCAAUACCACUAGCUAAUAUUAUGGCGCAACAACCAAAAUCAAUAGAAAUUGAUAAUUUUCAAGGACUUUUAAUUCUACAAAGACUACAAGUGUUGGUGCAAAAGAAUUUGUACUUUCAUUGUUGGGAGCCAGACCAUCAAAUCAGAGACUGUUUAAAAUAUCAAAGUUCAAGCAGCAAGAAAUAAUAUCAAGUUUACAAUUUCAAGAAGUACUAAGUUGAUGAAGAAGUGGAGUAGGAAAACAAGGCUCUCUAAUAAAGGCACCAAGGGCUAAUGCUAGAGAUAGUUGUUAUUUCUCAAAGACAAGCAGUAUGGCUUGGGACAAUUAUCAAAAAUAUUGACUAGUAUAUCUAAUGGUUUAACUAAGAAGACAACCAUGUUGAGUACUUAAAGAUUGUAGCUCUAUAAAAAAAUUAUAUUUUAAUGGAAAUUACCAAAAAAUUUGAGAUUAAAACAAAAGUGAUUAAAAAAAGGAAUAUAUCCUUAGCAGAUGACCAAGAAAAAUUAUUGAGCAAGAUAAGUGAAAAAAAAAAUCCUAAAGUUAAGUAACAUCUAUGCUUUGAAGGAGAAAUUCAGAGUAACAAAGCUUUCAUAUGAUGUUAUUCUUAGUAUGCUAUAG